rnacentral:lncRNA from 1 species
CGGCCGGGUCCCCUUCUCCUGGGAGCCUGGGCGUGGUCUCCCGUGUCCGGAGCUGCGUCCUUCCUUGCGCUCCACGAAGGUGCCUAAAGCGGCGCCGCGCGUUCAUGAAGAAGUUGCUGACGGUGUUGAGCUCCAAGCCGAGCUGCUGCGAGAUGGUGACCUGCAUCUCCUUGGACGGCCGCUUGUUCUCCUUGAAGAUGGCGAUCAGCGUGCGUCGCUGCAGGCUGAGACCACCCAGACUUGGCCUCCCUCGAGCACCCAGUGGACCCUCUGGAGCGCAGAACAUCUAAGAAAGAAGACUUUGGAGGAGGAGGGGAGAGUGCAGGGACCACCUCUUCCUCUCCCAGAUGAGCAGGUCACCCUUCCUCUUGGUCAGCCCGCACAGAUCACGGAGAGGGCUGAAGGAGGCUGCCCCAUGGCCUGCAGACCAGACACUUGCAAAGGGGAGAAAAGCAAAGGCUCGGGGUGAUGGGGCAGGGCUGAAGCCGAGUCCUGCUCUUCCUGCUCCAGCAGCGAAGUGAACCCCUCCCCUCAAUGCAGUGGGUGUCAGUGGGUACAAAACACAGGCUUCCCCCACUAGGAGCUGGGCCACAAGUCAGAUGGGCUCAUUUGUGGCAUCAGCUUGAAACUCCAUCAGAAUCUCAAUUUCUCUCCUGCAUCCAGACUGGGACUGUGGUGCUGAAGAGGCUGUCCUGCCCUUGUCUCCAUCCCGGAGUUCCAGCUACUCUGUGACCCCCAGAAGUGGCCGGUGGUGCAGGUAGUACUAGUGGGUCUCUGCUCCCAGUCUCUUCUCUGUGCCAGCCGUCGUGGCCUACUGGAAUGGCACAGAGAGCUUUUCUUUUCGUUGCAGAACAGCCUGGAACAUGACAUGCUAGAUCAAUGUCCAUACACGUCCACAGAAAUAAAUGAAUGUUCCUUCUGCCAUGACUCAUGUCUCGGGGACAACAGCAAAAAGAGGCUCUGCUGCCCCCCUUCCCGGCGUUCAAUCUAAUUACAGCUCCUCACAGCCCAGAUCGAUCCAGUCGGAGCUGUUUACCGCGAGCAGCUUUGUCAUUGCUCCCAUCCCCCACAGCCGCUGACAGAGGAUGCCCACUCCAUGCAGCCAGCCCUGCACCUCCUCCAGGACCCUGGGGACUGAGGCCCUGAUUCCAGGAGCAAUCACCCCCGAGAGGCUCUGAUCUGAGGACUCCAGGUUCCUGGUUUAUCAAGUGGACGCAGUGACCCAGAGCCCUGUGUCCCCACCGGGCCGCAGUCCCGAGAGUCACGAAGGAAUGAACGCCGAAGCACGGACCUGCAACCGACUCAUCCAUUCACCAUUCAGGGAGCAGCUGCUGCGUGAGGCCAGAGAGAGGCAGCUCCAGGAGCUGGCCUCCACUCACAGUCACAGGACAGCGUGAAGCGGCGGCUGCCUGGGACUCUGUUCCCCAAUGAGGAGGCCAGCUCCGCUCUGAGUCCAGGAAAGGGGGAGAGAGGACGCCUUUGGUCUGUACAGUGCCCCAAACCACCAAGCCACGUGAGUCUACCCCGCUGUGUGCCCGUCCUCCCUGUGUCCUGGAGCUGGAGAUCCCCUCCCUCAGCCACCUCUGGCUUCAGGGAGCAGACAAUUCAAUAUGGAGCCCGGUCUCCGGCUGGGAUGAUGACCGGUUUCCUUGGCGACGCGUCCUGUCCCCGCCACCAGCUGCCCUGCCCCAGAUGUGGGUUGUACUGAUGCCCCCCACCCCCAUGCUGGUGUCUUGUCCCC